GACGAACCGUGCGAACGUUAUUCGGAAUCACUGGGCUUAAAGCGCGUGUAGGCGGGGCGGCACGUCGGUCGCUGAAAGCCCCCGGCUCAACCGGGGAACGGGCGCCGAUACGACCGCCCUCGAGGGACGUAGGGGGACCUGGAACUUCCGGUGGAGCGGUGAAAUGCGUUGAGAUCGGAAGGAACGCCCGUGGCGAAAGCGAGGUCCUGGACGUCCGCUGACGCUGAGACGCGAAAGCCAGGGGAGCGAACGGG
rnacentral:rRNA from 1 species